rnacentral:rRNA from 1 species
UACGUAGGGUGCAAGCGUUAAUCGGAAUUACUGGGCGUAAAGCGUGCGCAGGCGGUUUUGUAAGUCUGUCGUGAAAUCCCCGGGCUCAACCUGGGAAUUGCGAUGGAGACUGCAAGGCUAGAAUCUGGCAGAGGGGGGUAGAAUUCCACGUGUAGCAGUGAAAUGCGUAGAGAUGUGGAGGAACACCGAUGGCGAAGGCAGCCUCCUGGGCCAGCACUGACGCUCAUGCACGAAAGCGUGGGGAGCAAACAGG